rnacentral:rRNA from 1 species
UUCGCAAUGCCCGAAAGGGUGACGAAGCGACGCCGCGUGUGGGAAGAAGGCCUUCGGGUUGUAAACCACUGUCGGGAGUUAAGAAAUGCAAGGAUAUGAAUAGUGUCUUUGCUUGACUAAGGCUCCGGAGGAAGCCACGGCUAACUCUGUGCCAGCAGCCGCGGUAAUACAGAGGCGGCAAGCGUUGUUCGGAAUUAUUGGGCGUAAAGAGCACGUAGGCGGCCGUGUAAGUCGGUUGUGAAAGCCUUCCGCUCAACGGGAGAACAGCAUCCGAUACUGUAUGGCUUGAGUGUGGGAGGGGAGAGCGGAACUUCUGGUGGAGCGGUGAAAUGCGUAGAUAUCAGAAGGAACGCCGGCGGCGAAAGCGGCUCUCUGGCCCAUAACUGACGCUGAGUGUGCGAAAGCUAGGGGAGCAAACGGGAUUAGAUACCCCGGUAGUCCUAGCCGUAAACGAUGGGCACUAAGUAGAGGGGUUUU